UUGGGUGACAACCAUCCUGGUUUGCCUGGUACUGAGGCAGUUCCUGGGAUGUAGGACUUCCAGUGCCAAAACCAGGAAAGUC
rnacentral:miRNA from 1 species